rnacentral:rRNA from 1 species
UACGUAGGGGGCUAGCGUUGUCCGGAAUCAUUGGGCGUAAAGAGCGUGUAGGCGGCCCGGUAAGUCCGCUGUGAAAGUCGAGGGCUCAACCCUCGAAUGCCGGUGGAUACUGUCGGGCUAGAGUGCGGAAGAGGCGAGUGGAAUUCCUGGUGUAGCGGUGAAAUGCGCAGAUAUCAGGAGGAACACCAAUUGCGAAGGCAGCUCGCUGGGACGUAACUGACGCUGAGACGCGAAAGCGUGGGGAGCAAACAGG